CCCCCUUUUACCCCUUUCCCACUUGCACUUGAGCUCGCUCGCUCUCUCUCUGAAAAUAAAUAAAUAAACUUAAAAAAAAUUUUUCUCUUACAAUCCCAUUUUAGGUCACAUUUUCCUUAAUACCCCUUUUGGUUUUGUUUUGUUUUUUUUAACAUGAAAGAUGAAUUAUUGUAAGUUUUUAUUGGUUCCUUGUUGCCUUAUAUGGGUAAAAGGGUGUGUGUGCAAGGUUAGCUCUGAAGUUUCUGAUAACUUUAAUAUCCUAUGAUUUUAUGUUUUUAGACUCUUUUUUCAGUAAGUUCUAUGCCCACCAUGGGGCUCGUACUCACGACCCUGAGAUAAGGAGUCUUGUGCUCCACUGACUGGGCCAGCCAGGUAUCCCUAUGAUUUUUUUAGACUUAAACUUUCUAAGUCAGGUAUUUUGUGGGCGGGGGAGACUGGGGUUUUCUUUGUUGAGCUUGUCACCCAGAUGUGCUUUAGGUAUGAGCUUUCUAGCCAGUUGAACUCUGUUUUACUUUUUUAAGAAGUUUAAUAUGGCUCCAGUCAGAUGAGACCAGCCUGUGUGGUCGUCUCCUAGAAGCAUCAUGAAGGCGCCGAGCAUUUUGAAGGUUUCUGCGUCUCCUCAUGAAGAUGUCGCACUCCCAUGACAAAGCAGUCCCCUGGGACCGUCCUUCUACCAGACCCGUCCCAUUGGCCUGGCCUCACCCCUGCUGCUCAGCGUCAGGAGAUGCCACUUCCCCAGUCGGCCGGCCCACUUCUGACUUGGCCUUCGAUGCCCUCUGGUGCCCGGCCUUCACGUGGACAUCGUAGGACGGUUUGUUCUCCAGCUGAGGGAGAACUAUCCGAGAACACUUACUUGCCCCCCUCAUCUCAUCUCCACAGCCCCCAACACUCCCCAGAGGCCCUAGCGAACAGCCCGGCUGUAAUGAAUUGAUGGCAGCCGCCCCUUGUAUUUCCUGGAAAUUUUUUAAUUCUCAGGAGAAGGUAGGCUUUAUAUUUUAAAAUCGAUGUGGUUGGCCACAUAUUUAAAACCGAGAUUUAAAAAAAAAAAAAAAAUCACUUACUGGUAUGAACUUCAGAAAAGCUUGUUUCACAGAAAGAGAUUUUCCACAUUCCACACCACUACAAAGAUAACCCAGAUAUCCUGGGCCAGCGACUCCCAUGGGGCCGGGCACGGGGAGCCACCCCUGUCAGAGGCCCAACAGGCCACGGGCAGUAUCUCCCUGUGGCUUUUCACAAUUCCCACCUAUUCGUAGAUACCCUCUCUCCAGUGACCUGCCCCCUUCAUUGUUUUUAACCUCUGCUCCAUUACUUUGGAAAAAUUUGUCUUUUUUUCCCUUCGCUUCUUCACGCUCCUCCCCUCUCCAGCUCCGUGUUCCAAAUUGAACCUAAUUAUGGAUAAGUGUUCAGAUUAGGGGUUAUGAUAAAUCUGGAAAGGUAAAGUCAUACAUUUUGACCUGAAACUCUAUCCAAUGAAGAACCAGUGCCAACAGCCUCCCAAGCCCUUGAAAAAUCCCCUUUGUUUUAUCUGCCAGAGAAUUCAUUUUUCUUCCUCUAAUUGGUCCUGCUUUUCUCCUACCAGCAGCCAAAUUAAAAAAAAAAAAAAUCUUGAAAGUUAAAUUAUCAGCAGUCUAACCUUCUGAUUUUUUCACAGAUAAACAAGGAGUCCAUUCAAAGUGGUCCUAGAACUAUUUGAAAAUUACCUGUUUAUAGUCGCGUUUUGGUCUCUUCCGCUCUGCCCUUCCUUCAAUCUGAGUACAUUCCAUUGCGCGUGUUACGUGCAGUUUGUUAUAGGCCGGACCAGAGACAUGAUGAGACAGUCUCUCUUUGCAGGUUACGUUUGUGUGUGGGUGUUGUUUGCUUGCAUGUGUUUGUGUGUGUCCACGUGCCCCUCACACCUUCCCUGACAUCCUAACUUUCUGUGGCAUUCUGCUUUUGUGCUUUAUGCCCUGGUGAGGGUUUUCAAAACCAGUAGUUGUAGGUGAUUAAGAAAGAGGAAGGAAUGAAAAUCAAGGAGACAACAGUAAUUGGAGCGGUGGUUACAUUUUCGUGGAAGCCUCUGGUUUGUCCUAAAUUCUCGUAUCCGGAGCCUUAUGCUAACCACUUUAGAUACAAGAUAGUCCUUGAGGCAUUAUGGACAAUCCUGCUUUUCCUUUACUGUCACAGUACUGGUUCCGUUACCAGCCUGGACUCCGGGGGUGGGGUUGGGAUGGUGCUGGGGACCUCUUGAUGGCUUUGGUCCGUCCAUGUCCGCAUGCUGGACUCCCCUCACUCAUCCUCAGUCCCCGUGUGCCUGGAAACCAGUAACGAAAGCAGCCAGAACCGUGUCUAAACCAGAAGGGCUUCUCCUGAUCAACAAAAAGGUGUGAAGUUUGGGCACGGACAGUUUUAGCUUCUCCGGAGACCUCUUUCUGUUCCGCUGGUUGAGGACAGCAUCUCAGGGGGCCGAGUAUCUCCGGCUGUACAGUGCCGUCCUGGUGAGAUAAAGUAUUUUCGCACACGCCGUCCCCUCGCCUCAGCCCUCCCCUGAGAUGCACGGGCCUCCCGGCAACCACCCCGUGCCCCUUCUCCUUGCCCUGUGCCCGGAUGCUCCUCUCACAGAACUGGUCCACGGACUCCUCUGCAGGUCGACCAGAAGUCCCCCUUGUCCAGGCUAAGUCCCAGUUAACGCCUGUUGCGGGUCAGUGCACGCCUAUUAUUUUCAUUUUCAAAAAUGCCAUUUGCAAGAUAAAUGUUACCUUGAUCCUACUUUUCAUCCUUUCAGGCUUCUUCAGCCCUGAUGUCACCUCCUCAGGUAGACCCUUCCGCACCUGGUAGGCUUCCUUUCUCCGAAGCUGGACAGGAUCCUUUGUUUGCCCUGCUUGCUGACUGGCCCCCAGGGCUUGGUCAGGCUGAGCCAGGGGUUUGUGAGAAGCAGAUACAUUUAGGCUUCUUUCAGCCUCGGGACCCAUGCAGGGCCAGGCUGGGAAGAAGUGAGAGAGGAGGCACUAGGUGCAGGAGAAGGUGAGGUGCAGGGGAGGGAUGUGCAAGGAGAAGGGAAGGUGAAGCGGAGGAAUGCAGGGGAGAGUGAGGUCCAGGGGGGAGCAAGGAAGGACAGAACGUGGGCGCGUGCUGCGGGCCAGGAUUUAUGGGAAGCUUCACUAAUGUGAUUGUGCCCCCUCGAGAAAUUUUAAUGUCCUCUACCACUCAAGGCUGUAAGAGUCGAUGUGAGGGUUUCUGAUUUGAGGCCGUGUGCGGUCAGCUUGAAGGGACUGAUACCGCAAGAGACGUCUGAUGAGGCUUGAUUAUAAGUGGAUUACGUGAAAUAAACAAACUCCAUUUUUUUCUAGGUGAUUGUUUUUCUGGGAGUAUUAGACAAAACAGGGGAUUCAGAGGCACACGUUCAGGCUCGUCUCUUCUUUUCUGACCUUGAUGGGUUUUUCAUGUGCGUAAAGGGCUUGAGCUCCAUCUACGAUGUCCCUUCCACCUUUUAGAACUGUAUGAUUUCGUCAUACAUGGCGGCCAGACUAGAAAGCAUUUUGAAGUUCUACAGAGUACUAUUUUUUUUUUUUUUCCAAUCGCAGGCCAGAAAGGAAAACUUCCAAAUAAGGAUGCGUAAGAUACUCAGACAAAGGGAAACAAUAACUAAAAUACAAGUCUAGCCUUUGCCCUGGCAUGAAAAGAAUGCAGACUGGUAACUGACCUAAAGGUUUCUGUUUCAUUUCAUAUUUAGGUGAAAUGGUCAGCCUUGACCAUUAUUCCCAAAAAAAUGUCUCUUCAGACUUUUAAAAUAUUUGUGUAAUAUUGAGGCGAUUGUAUUAUCCUUGACAACACUGAGGUCGCUUUUACCUGUAAAAAAUGCCGUGCCUAAUCGUGUAUGUACCAGGAGCAGUGCUUGAAAAGCUAAAUUUAGCAAAAUUAAUCCGGGCUCACAAAUGAUCACGGUAGACCUUCAAUGAACACCCCUACCUAAUAUCAUGACAAACAUUGUGAGGUCGCCUCCCGGUGGCUUAGCCAUCUAACGUGGAGGAAUGUUUCAGCAAGGAGAGUAAUUUGAUUUCAUCAAAUAGUAAGCACACGGGCCAUUCAGACUGUAGUUGUCAGGGUUAUACCCAAGGAUGAGAAACGUCUGACCAGUGAAUGAACACAGCUGAGUGUGAAGUGACACUGAGUAUGUCAUAUGUCUUUGUAAAAUGGACAGUCCAGAGGACACACGUUGGCCAACCUCAUUGGUCUUCUGCAGCGUCUCAAAAUUUUUUGAGUAAGAAUAUUUUCAUGGGGCCUUUGAGUAAGAAUAUUUUUCAGGGGGUCUGCCUUUCACAGACGUUUACUUACCUCUCCGGCUCCCCAGGCAGUUGAAUUGUUGACCUUUGGCCUUUGAUUAAAAAAAAAAAAACACAUCUAAUUACUAAAAUAGUAAAAACUAAAUAGUCUUGGUUGCUCACUGGGAAAUCCACCUGGAGACAGAGAUUUGCGUGUAGAAAGUUUGUGGAGGGCACCCGUGGAAACAAUAUCUAGGGUUGGGGGGUGAAGGAAACAGGUUCUAGCAGAGAGAGAAGGUGAAAUGUGACAGGACCAUCACCGUUGUCUCAGUCCCCAGGGCCUGGAGCUAGGAUGGUCCUCCAGGGUCAUCCCAAAUUGAGACCACGUGGUCAGACCUUUGUGCCUUCUUCCCAUCAGCCAUGGGAAGGUUUCAGGGGAGAAUCUGUUUCCUUGCUUUUUCUAGCGGUCUUUCAUUUCCUUUAUGAAUUCUGCCCCAACGGGGACAUUGUGAUAGCCUGAAAGCCAAAAAAAAACCCCAAAAAACAAAACAACCCAAAAAACAAAAAAAACAAAAACAUUCACUCACUAGUUUCUUCCUUAAAAAGUUCACUCUCAGGGAGUUGGCUCCAGCGCUGACCACAGGUUCUGCCUGCACACGGACAGGCCUGACUCACUCCCGUCCACUCCUUCCUGCCGCCCUCGCCCUCGUCAGGGCCUGUUUCCCCGUGACAUCUAGCCAGCGCCCCACGAGCACCUGCUUUGUGCCUGUGGCUAGGGGGGAGGCCAGGUCACUGCUUGCCCUGCAGAGUGGAGGGUGAGUGGGGCCUCAUGGUAGAAUUAAAAAAAUAUACAUCCGCUCCCUGGUUCCAGGCACAGAGCUCCUAAAACCCUUGGAAUUUUUGAGAGGAGCAUCUUUUGUUAUUCAUAAUAAGCCCCUUUCAACCGCACUCCAGUUUAUGCUAAUUGUGGUGACUCUUGGAGGAUGGGGCUGGUUGCCCGAGGAACCAACCACGUGAUGAGAGGGCUGGAACCUUCAGCCCCACCCCCCACCACUGGGGAGGGAAGAGGGGUUUGGACAUUAAGUUUAACCACCAGUGGCGAGUGAACUGAUCAGUCGUGCCUACCUAAUGGCACCGCAGUAAAAAUUCUAAACAGUGGGUUUUGGAGAGCUUCCAGGCUGCUGAGCACGCCAAGGUUAUGGGAAGGUAGCACACCCGAAGAGGGCGGGCAAGCUCCAUGCUCACCCCACGCCUUUCCCUCUGCAUCUUGCAUCUGGCUGUUCCUGAGUUGUGUCCUUUGCAAUAAACUGGUGAUCUAAUCUUCCUGAGCGUGGAUGGGAGACUUUCUAAAGGCGUGUUUACCACACUGGCCUUGUGGAAGGAGCUUUCUCUGGGCCUCAGCAGGACAGAGAGAGAGACAGAGCAUGAACGGGGGAGGGGCAGAGAGAGAGGGAGA